rnacentral:rRNA from 1 species
AGGGUUUGAUCCUGGCUCAGAACGAACGCUGGCGGCGUGGCUAAGACAUGCAAGUCGAACGAAUUAGUUAAUUGAGUAAUCGAGAGACUAAUUAGUGGCGCAAGGGUGAGGAAUAGAUAGGUAACGUACCCUGUACUUCGGGAUAGCGUCGUUGACCGCAAGGUCAACUACCGAAAGGGGCAUUAAUACCGUAUAAUAUCACUAAUCGACAGAUUGGUUAUCAAAGAUUUAUCGGUGCAGGAGCGGCCUAUCUCCUAUCAGCUUGUUGGUGAGGUAAUGGCCCACCAAGGCAACGACGGGUAAGGGGACUGAGAGGUUGUUCCCUCACAUCGGGACUGAGACACUGCCCGGACCUCCACGGAGGGCUGCGGUAACGAAUAUUGCGCAAUGGGCGAAAGCCUGACGCAGCGACGCCGCGUGUGGGAUGAAGUCCCUCGGGAUGUAAACCACUGUCAGGGAAAAGAAAUUCCGUUUAGGCGGAUUGAUCUAUCCCAAAGGAAGCCACGGCUAACUUCGUGCCAGCAGCCGCGGUAAGACGAAGGUGGCGAGCGUUGUUCGGUGUCACUGGGCUUAAAGGGUGUGUAGGCGGGAACGUAAGCGCUUUGUGAAAUCCCCCGGCUUAACCGGGGAAUUGCUUGGCGAACUGCGUUUCAUGAGGCAAGCAGGGGUACAUGGAACUCUUGGUGGAGCGGUGGAAUGCGUAGAUAUCAAGAGGAACGCCGAUGGUGAAGACAGUGUACUGGGCUUGUCCUGACGCUGAAACACGAAAGCGUGGGGAGCAAACGGGAUUAGAUACCCCGGUAGUCCACGCUGUAAACGAUGUCUACUAGGUUGCGGUGGUUCUGACACCGGCGCGACCGAAGCGAAAGUGUUUAGUAGACCGCCUGGGGAGUACGGUCGCAAGGCUAAAACUCAAAGGAAUUGACGGGGGCUCACACAAGCGGUGGAGUAUGUGGAUUAAUUCGAAACAACGCGCAGAACCUUACCUGGGUUUGACAUGCUUGGAUGCCCGCCAUGAAAGUGGUUGGGCUGCCCGCAAGGGUGAAACUUGCACAGGUGCUGCAUGGCUGUCGUCAGCUCGUGUCGUGAGAUGUCGGGUUAAGUCCUUUAACGAGCGAAACCCUUGCCGUUAGUUACCAGCGGGUCAUGCCGGGAACUCUAGCGGGACUGCCGGUGCUAAACCGGAGGAAGGUGGGGAUGACGUCAAGUCAUCAUGGCCUUUAUGCCCAGGGCCUCACACGUACUACAAUGGCGACUACAAAGCGACGCAAGACCGCGAGGUGGAGCAAAUCGCAAAAAAGUCGCCUCAAUUCGGAUUGCAGGCUGGCAAUUCGCCUGCAUGAAGUCGGAAUCGCUAGUAAUCGCAUAUCAGCUAUGAUGCGGUGAAUGUGUUCCUGAGCCUUGUACACACCGCCCGUCAAGUCAUGGGAGUUGGGAGUACCCGAAACCGGGUUACUAACCUGGGCAACCAGGAAGUGCCUGUCUACGGUAAGCCCAAUGACUGGGACUAAGUCGUAACAAGGUA